rnacentral:rRNA from 1 species
CACGUAGGGUGCGAGCGUUGUCCGGAAUUAUUGGGCGUAAAGAGCUUGUAGGCGGUUUGUCGCGUCUGCUGUGAAAUUUCGGGGCUCAACCCCGAACUUGCAGUGGGUACGGGCAGACUAGAGUGUGGUAGGGGAGACUGGAAUUCCUGGUGUAGCGGUGAAAUGCGCAGAUAUCAGGAGGAACACCGAUGGCGAAGGCAGGUCUCUGGGCCUGUUCUGACGCUGAGGCGCGAAAGCUAGGGGAGCGAACAGG